UAAAGGUUGUUUGUUCACACAAAUGCCCUGUCAGAGCCCAGGGGUCUGUCUUUUGACCGCUGAACUCCUCAUCAGCAAAUGGAAAAUGGAAUUUGUAAACCACACAACACAGGUUCUGUCUGAGGGGGUCUAAGCAUCAUUAUCCAGGACAGAGCCUAUAGAACAGCCAAUCAUUCCAGAACCUCAGCUGAGAGCCAGCCAUAUCUGGGCCCGAGUCAAAAAGUGACCCCUGCAACGACUCUCUUCGCUGUCUCUGAGCAAACUCUCCUAAGCCCGGGGCACAGGAUGGCUAAAGGUUCUUCCUCUCUGAAGACUUAAUAUGGUUAUUAAAUUCUGAUCCCAACCAAUCUCUCUUCUUAAGGCUUUUCAUGACAUGUUGGGUAUGCCAAUUUUUAAUGUUUGAUUUUUCUAAAUUUUCCAAGAAGCUGCCUUACAACGCAGUGCACGGCGAGGCUGCAUACACGGAGCCCAUCCAUCAAUGCUAGCUGUCGCAAGGGAAUCACUGGAAACAUUCUCAUGCUCUUGGCUCAAUCAAGAUGGUUCUUUUAAAAGUGUCUAAGCUGUAAUUCUUUGACAACUCUGACUUUCUCAGGCUUUCAGCAGAACACUACUAAAAUUCAAGGGAAACCACAACUCAAAAGGCCUUCCCACUGCUUUGGCACAGAGCACCCCCAAGUCCUGCAAGCCAUCAAAAGAUUCAGCUUGCAAACCCAGGCUCUGUCUGGAAGCGGGGAGGGACAGCACACUUGCUGGCCGGGAGCAGCUAGCAAGCUGCAAGGACACACAGAGGGCGACCACAUCAACGCAGCUGCCUGGGGACAAAAGAGAGUGAUGGUGCGGUGGGUGCUCAGCACCCGGUGGACACUUAAUCCGUGUAACAGAGUGAUGCACACUCGCAGGGGGUAUGGGCUUCUCUCUGGACCCUGUGUCUUCCUAGGAAAGCUGCCUUAAGAAACAUUUUGGAGGAAGACUGAGAAAAUAAGGCCAUCAUUGUCACUGACAUCUCAUAACAUGUUACCGACCCUGAAAAACGAAUAUGUAUUUUUUCCCUUGGUUAUAUAGUUUUAAAAGCCCCAAACUAUCUUUUAUAAAACACAAAUUUUUUAAAACUGAAAUUUGUUUAGCUUUGGCUGUUUCUUAUCCCAAGUCUCAAAGAGUAAUUCACAUCUCAAUCUAUUUCUGAAGCCUUGGGUAGGCAGGGAGUUACUUCCUAACAACUAAUCCCACCUGGGCUUGGGAAUCUCCACAUGAGAAGGCAGAGACGAGAGUGGACGCAGCUGCCCAGAGGACGAGGCCAGGAGCUCCUCGGCACCUGGACCCCCCAGACCAGCCCUGUUGGUCCCUGCACAAGCCCCUCCAUGCAGCGCCCGAGGCAUGGGAGUUGCCCGACGAGUGCCCUCCACACGCCAAGCCAAUCUUCACAUGAAAUAGGACCAUGGAGGGCACCAGCUUCCAUGCGAGAACAGCCCCCGGGUAUCUAAUUCAAAAACGUCAAGUCAAGGCCGACUCCAUAGGCUGCCCCGUUCCACUCACCAUGAUGACGGAGACCCCGGUGGUGGUGCUGUUCUGUUUGGGGAGCGCGUUAUUAAA